GGGGUUUACAAUGAUGGGGUAAAUUAGGUCUGUAGAACAUGGCCGAACAUUUGUCUAAUGGAAGAAUUGUUCUUGUUGGCCACAGUACCCAGAUUGUCCUUUUUAAUGCCUUCUACUGUAGGAUUGGAGGAACGAAAAGGAGCAAUUUAAUUGCUAUGGCCAACCAGAGCCCCUGGAUUAAUAAAUCCUUUUUUUUUGGUGAUGCCUAACAAGUCAUAUAGCCAGAGACCUCCUGUUUUUAGCAAACCUGCGUACGCAAGCAGAGCUGUACUUAAAAUAUGACCUGUAAAAACUACACAAGUGAUUGCAUGAAACAACCAGUGAGCUUGAACAAUUACUUUUUCUGCAGCAUGUAAUCAAAUAGACAUUAGUUAGACUUGGGAGUUGGGUAGGCCUUUUUUUUUUAUCUGACUGGUUGGUUUACUGUUUGAAGACUUAAAGAGAACCUGUCAGGAUGGAAUUAUGGGAAUGGCAUGAAAGCCAAUCAAAGGGGUAACCAAAUUGCUGGCCGGCUUACUGUUAUGUCUCACAUGCCACCCCCCUAGCCUCUAAGUUUGCAGUGCAUGAGUUGACAAGCGGGCAUCGUUGGGUUUAAGUCGACCUCUGCUAAAGCAUUGGACUCAGUAAAGCUAAAUAAGAUGGGAAUCCAAAUUCUUUGCUUCAGUAGGUACAGUUUUAACAUAUAUUCAGCAUAAUUCCAUUAGUGAUGGGUUCUCUUUAAUGUAUGUUGCAUAUGUUGGUAUGGACCUCACUGUGCAUGGGAAGAGGUGUUAUGGUCCACCAAAGCUUAGUUGAUUAACCUUCAAGCUACGAGCUUUAUAAUUUGAUUGUACAAUCUCCUUCAGGUCUACCAUCUUCAGGUCUUCAGGUAGAACUUCAGGUCUACCAUCACCUAUGUAGUACAAGGGCCAGCCUGAUUACCAUGCUUUAGCAGGCCCUUACGUUUUGUAGUUUUGGUCAAUCUAAAGGAGGCCGUACAAUCAAAUUUUUAAUCCAUGCCAACUUUACACUUAAAGGCAUCAAAGUCCAAAACUAUUUGAGCAAUAAAACUCUGGAAUUGUUUUGUUUGAGGAAUUAUAACAGGAUGUAACUGUUUUAAUGCUGGAAAAUGUCUGUUGUUUGACUCCCCUAAGUUGAGUGGUAUCUUGAUAUAACACGGUCUCACCCCAAAGGGUCCUGACGCGCUCCUAAGGACAGGAGAAACAUUUGUGGAAGAGCCAACUUGAUCAAGUUGGUAAAAACUGGAGUAAGAAAGACUUGGGAAAGCAAAGCCAUUUCCAAUAACCACAAAUCGGCAUCCAAUUGCCACCAAGUUUCUCGCUGUAGUUUUCAUACAUCAGGUCACUCGAGAGUCCAGAAUGCAAAAUAAUGUUCCGUUGUUGUGUAUGUGGUUGGUUGGACAACAAUGCAAAUUUUGUGGCUUUGUGUUGGAUCAGACGAUAGUUCUGCCCAUGUUUGGCCAUUGUUAAGACCAUUUAUUGCCAGAUAACCAAACUAGAGAGGGCAUAGGCCUCAUUCAAGAACUGUAGAACCAGUUAAGAUUCCUACUGCCAUGUCAUCAGAAAAUAGAAGAAACGUUGGUUUCUACAGCAACCUUCGCGUCCUCCGCUUUCAGUCAUGAGCCCCACUAUUCCUAGAACAAAAUCCAGUCUGUUCUUCACCGGUUUUUUAGUUUCUAUGUACCUGCUGCUAAAAUUCAUUGUUUAAAAAAUAAAAUUAAAAAAGGGAAGAUGGCAAACACCAAAGAGUAUUUUGUGAAAAAGACAAGUCUCCUUGUGCAUCCCUCCUCUAUGAUGGACCUUUGGCCACCCUCUGCCGUUCAUCAUCGCCACCAAUGUGGAUUUCCUCCCCCCCCCCCCCCCCCGGUUCCUGCAGGCUUUCGUUUCAGACCUAAAAUUAGAAAAGUUUGUACCCCCCAUUGCAUCUAAUUAAAACACACUAAGCUAAAUUUAGCAUGGACAUUGCCGUGGCAACCAGAUUGCAAGCUCAGUAUACCACGCUCAAUCCACGCUCAAUUCAAGCAAGACUGUCUCUUUCGUAAUCAAGCCGAGAGACCUUUGCAUGCUUUAAAAAAAAAAA